rnacentral:tRNA from 1 species
UUAAGAACAGUUUUGGAAACAUUAACUUUGGGGGUUAGCAAGUAGAAUUAUUUUCUAUUCUUAAA